UGGGAAAUGUGCCGCAGGCCCGCGUAUCGAGGCGCCAGAAGGAGGAGGAGGAGGAGGGCAGCGUGGAUUACUAUGGUGCCAAUGGGUUAAGAUGCUUACCAGCUAAUUAUCCUCACUAGAAAAUCCCCGGUCCUGAAGCCCAAACAAGCAGGACGCGUGAGGAACUGGGAGAUGGGGACGUGGAGACCACGCCAAACGCGGACCGGCGGACUGGACAACGGUGAUGUCCGUGGAUACGAGCAAAUGGACCGAGCCUAUGCUGGAUUCUAGCGGAGGUCGGGCUCGACGAAGGAGUUUCUCGUGGUUUUUUAGAACUAAGUUGGUUGCGAUGAGGAGGUAGGGAUAAACUUUUCAGCUUUUUACGCUAUCGAUCUCUCCCGGAAACGGGAAGAUGAGCCCUGCUUUGGGACCCAUUUGGAGCAUCUCAAAAAUCACUUAGCGCAUCAUUCCCCGCAGCCAGGAUCAAUCCGAGCAGCGGACCUGCUUCUCACCGAGGACCGGGGCGAAGUGGAGAACGGGCCUGUGUGUCUGCGCGCGGGAACAAAACACCCUGACGCAGGAUGUUACAAAGGGCCGACGUCCUGCAGCAGCAGCGUGGGACCACACGCGAACCUCCUCCUGUUCUGUGUAUGGCACUGGUAGAAUUCACUGUCACGGCAAGAUAUCAGUGAAUUACCAUAGGGCCAUAAACAGAGUAGAGACACCACGACGCUGCCUGGGGGUGUGUGUGUGUAUCAGCAGCGUGAAUGUCUCACAUCUUCUUCGCCUGUUUUGGCACUAGCACAUUUUUGCUUUGUUUCUCGUUGUUGGGGCAAUUAUGUGUGGUGCCAAUUUAGGACAAGACAGACGAUCAGCUGUGUGUGUUCCUGAGCUGUGGAUGUGAUCGGUUCUUAUUAGAUAUCACCGGUUGCCAUGGAGGCCAGUCUCUGAGAUGCCGUCCUGUGUAACCUGACCCCCCCCCCCUCCUCCCCUGGCGUCACACAGACACAGGGGGGGCACCGGUGCACUCUCCCACAGUGUUUGGCAAUG
rnacentral:lncRNA from 1 species